rnacentral:rRNA from 1 species
AGUGGCGGACGGGUGAGUAACGCGUGAGAAUCUGCCUUGGGGUCGGGGACAACCACUGGAAACGGUGGCUAAUACCGGAUAAGCCGAUUGGUGAAAGAUUUAUUGCCCGAAGAGGAGCUCGCGUCUGAUUACCUAGUUGGUGAGGUAAGAGCUCACCAAGGCAGCGAUCAGUAGCUGGUCUGAGAGGACGAUCAGCCACACUGGGACUGAGACACGGCCCAGACUCCUACGGGAGGCAGCAGUGGGGAAUUUUCCGCAAUGGGCGAAAGCCUGACGGAGCAAGACCGCGUGAGGGAGGAAGGCUCUUGGGUUGUAAACCUCUUUUCUCAGGGAAGAAGCUCUGACGGUACCUGAGGAAUCAGCCUCGGCUAACUCCGUGCCAGCAGCCGCGGUAAUACGGAGGAGGCAAGCGUUAUCCGGAAUUAUUGGGCGUAAAGCGUCCGCAGGUGGCGAUUCAAGUCUGCUGUCAAAGCACGGGGCUUAACUCCGUAAAGGCAGUGGAAACUGAAUAGCUAGAGUGCCGUAGGGGUAGAGGGAAUUCCCGGUGUAGCGGUGAAAUGCGUAGAGAUCGGGAAGAACAUCGGUGGCGAAAGCGCUCUACUGGACGGCAACUGGCACUCAGGGACGAAAGCUAGGGGAGCGAAUGGGAUUAGAUACCCC